UACAGAGGGUGCAAGCGUUAAUCGGAAUUACUGGGCGUAAAGCGCGCGUAGGCGGUCUUGUAAGUCGGGUGUGAAAGCCCCGGGCUCAACCUGGGAACUGCAUUCGAGACUGCAAGACUGGAGUAUUGGAGAGGGCAGCGGAAUUUCCGGUGUAGCGGUGAAAUGCGUAGAUAUUGGGAGGAACACCAGAUGCGAAGGCGGGUCACUGGGCUGAUACUGACGCUGAUAUUGCGAAAGCCAGGGGAGCGAACGGG
rnacentral:rRNA from 1 species